UCACCAAAAUUUUGGGUGGUCGCAAAUCCCGGAUGACCACCCAACUGAAAGACCCCCCCAGAGUGAGGAGACCCUCACUCAAGUCUCAGGAUAAGCCAACGCCCCAAUAAUUCAAUAGAGACA
rnacentral:pre_miRNA from 11 species